rnacentral:rRNA from 2 species
AGCAGCCGCGGUAAUUCCAGCUCCAAUAGCGUAUAUUAAAGUUGUUGCAGUUAAAAAGCUCGUAGUUGAAUUUCGGGGUCAGUAGAUUGGUCAUGCCACUGGUAUGUACUGGUCUCACUGAUUCCUCCUUCCUGAUGAGCCGUAAUGCCAUUAAUUUGGUGUUGCGAGGAAUCUGGACUGUUACUUUGAAAAAAUUAGAGUGUUUAAAGCAGGCUAACGCUUGAAUACAUUAGCAUGGAAUAAUGAAAUAGGACGUUCGAUCUUAUUUUGUUGGUUUCUAAGAUUGACGUAAUGAUUAAUAGGGAUAGUUGGGGGCAUUAGUAUUCAAUUGUCAGAGGUGAAAUUCUUGGAUUUAUUGAAGACUAACUACUGCGAAAGCAUUUGCCAAGGAUGUUUUCAUUAAUCAAGAACGAAAGUUAGGGGAUCGAAGACGAUCAGAUACCGUCGUAGUCUUAACCAUAAACUAUGCCGACUAGGGAUCGGAUGAUGUUAAUUUUUUAAUGACUCAUUCGGCGCCUUACG